rnacentral:rRNA from 1 species
GAUGAACGCUGGCGGCGUGCCUAAUACAUGCAAGUCGAGCGAACGGACGAGAAGCUUGCUUCUCUGAUGUUAGCGGCGGACGGGUGAGUAACACGUGGAUAACCUACCUAUAAGACUGGGAUAACUUCGGGAAACCGUAGCUAAUACCGGAUAAUAUUUUGAACCGCAUGGUUCAAAAGUGAAAGACGGUCUUGCUGUCACUUAUAGAUGGAUCCGCGCUGCAUUAGCUAGUUGGUAAGGUAACGGCUUACCAAGGCAACGAUGCAUAGCCGACCUGAGAGGGUGAUCGGCCACACUGGAACUGAGACACGGUCCAGACUCCUACGGGAGGCAGCAGUAGGGAAUCUUCCGCAAUGGGCGAAAGCCUGACGGAGCAACGUCGCGUGAGUGAUGAAGGUCUUCGGAUCGUAAAACUCUGUUAUUAGGGAAGAACAUAUGUGUAAGUAACUGUGCACAUCUUGACGGUACCUAAUCAGAAAGCCACGGCUAACUACGUGCCAGCAGCCGCGGUAAUACGUAGGUGGCAAGCGUUAUCCGGAAUUAUUGGGCGUAAAGCGCGCGUAGGCGGUUUUUUAAGUCUGAUGUGAAAGCCCACGGCUCAACCGUGGAGGGUCAUUGGAAACUGGAAAACUUGAGUGCAGAAGAGGAAAGUGGAAUUCCAUGUGUAGCGGUGAAAUGCGCAGAGAUAUGGAGGAACACCAGUGGCGAAGGCGACUUUCUGGUCUGUAACUGACGCUGAUGUGCGAAAGCGUGGGGAUCAAACAGGACUAGAUACCCUGGUAGUCCACGCCGUAAACGAUGAGUGCUAAGUGUUAGGGGGUUUCCGCCCCUUAGUGCUGCAGCUAACGCAUUAAGCACUCCGCCUGGGGAGUACGACCGCAAGGUUGAAACUCAAAGGAAUUGACGGGGACCCGCACAAGCGGUGGAGCAUGUGGUUUAAUUCGAAGCAACGCGAAGAACCUUACCAAAUCUUGACAUCCUUUGACAACUCUAGAGAUAGAGCCUUCCCCUUCGGGGGACAAAGUGACAGGUGGUGCAUGGUUGUCGUCAGCUCGUGUCGUGAGAUGUUGGGUUAAGUCCCGCAACGAGCGCAACCCUUAAGCUUAGUUGCCAUCAUUAAGUUGGGCACUCUAAGUUGACUGCCGGUGACAAACCGGAGGAAGGUGGGGAUGACGUCAAAUCAUCAUGCCCCUUAUGAUUUGGGCUACACACGUGCUACAAUGGACAAUACAAAGGGCAGCGAAACCGCGAGGUCAAGCAAAUCCCAUAAAGUUGUUCUCAGUUCGGAUUGUAGUCUGCAACUCGACUACAUGAAGCUGGAAUCGCUAGUAAUCGUAGAUCAGCAUGCUACGGUGAAUACGUUCCCGGGUCU